AUUCCUAUAGUUAAGAUGAUAACGGUGGCUUUUCAGGCCACGGACCUUGGGGAAGAGCCAAGUAGGAAUG
rnacentral:tRNA from 1 species